GACGAACGCUGGCGGCGUGCUUAACACAUGCAAGUCGAACGGUAAGGCCCUUCGGGGUACACGAGUGGCGAACGGGUGAGUAACACGUGGGUGAUCUGCCCUGCACUUCGGGAUAAGCCUGGGAAACUGGGUCUAAUACCGGAUAGGACCACUGCCUGCAUGGGUGGUGGUGGAAAGCUUUUGCGGGGUGGGAUGGGCCCGCGGCCUAUCAGCUUGUUGGUGGGGUGAUGGCCUACCAAGGCGACGACGGGUAGCCGGGCUGGGAGGGUGACCGGCAACACUGGGACUGAGAUACGGCCCCGAGUCCUACGGGAGGCAGCAGUGGGGAAUAUUGCACAAUGGGCGCAAGCCUGAUGCAGCGACGCCGCGUGAGGGAUGACGGCCUUCGGGUUGUAAACCUCUUUCAGCAUCGACGAAGCGAAAGUGACGGUAGGUGCAGAAGAAGGACCGGCCAACUACGUGCCAGCAGCCGCCGCAG
rnacentral:rRNA from 1 species